AUACGUAGGGGGCGAGCGUUGUCCGGAAUGAUUGGGCGUAAAGGGCGCGUAGGCGGCCCGGUAAGUCUGGAGUGAAAGUCCUGUUUUUAAGAUGGGAAUUGCUUUGGAUACUGUCGGGCUUGAGUGCAGGAGAGGUAAGUGGAAUUCCCAGUGUAGCGGUGAAAUGCGUAGAGAUUGGGAGGAACACCAGUGGCGAAGGCGACUUACUGGACUGUAACUGACGCUGAGGCGCGAAAGUGUGGGGAGCAAACAGGAUUAGAUACCCUGGUAGUCCACGCUGUAAACGAUGAAUGCUAGGUGUAGGGGGUAUCGACCCCUUCUGUGCCGCAGGCAACACAAUAAGCAUUCCGCCUGGGGAGUACGGCCGCAAGGUUGAAACUCAAAUGAAUUGACGGGG
rnacentral:rRNA from 1 species